CCUGCCAGUAGUCAUAUGCUUGUCUUAAAGAUUAAGCCAUGCAUGUCUAAGUAUAAAAUAGUAUACAGUGAAACUGCGAAUGGCUCAUUAAAACAGUUAUAGUUUAUUUGAUAAUUGAAUUCUACAUGGAUAACCGUAGUAAUUCUAGAGCUAAUACAUGCUGUAAAACCUGACUUUUCGGAAAGGUUGUAUUUAUUAGAUAUCAAACCAAUAAUCUUUCGGGAUUAUUGUGAUGAUUCAUAAUAACUGAUCGGAUCAAGGUGUACCUUGAUAGAUCAUUCAAGUUUCUGCCCUAUCAGCUUUCGAUGGUAGUGUAUUGGACUACCAUGGCAGUCACGGGUAACGGAGAAUUAGGGUUCAUUCCGGAGAGGGAGCCUGAGAAACGGCUACCACAUCUACGGAAGGCAGCAGGCG
rnacentral:rRNA from 1 species